UACGAAGGGGGCGAGCGUUGUUCGGAUUUACUGGGCGUAAAGGGCGCGCAGGCGGCUCAUUUUGUCAGGCGUGAAAGCCCCGGGCUUAACCGGGGAACUGCGUUUGAUACUGGACGGCUUGAGUUUGGGAGAGGGAUGCGGAAUUCCAGGUGUAGCGGUGAAAUGCGUAGAUAUCUGGAGGAACACCGGUGGCGAAGGCGGCAUCCUGGACCAAUACUGACACUGAUGAGCGAAAGCCAGGGGAGCAAACGGG
rnacentral:rRNA from 1 species